rnacentral:rRNA from 1 species
GACGAACGCUGGCGGUGUGCUUAACACAUGCAAGUCGAACGGUAAGGCCCUUUCGGGGGUACACGAGUGGCGAACGGGUGAGUAACACGUGAGUAACCUGCCCUCAUCUCUGGGAUAACAGUCGGAAACGGUUGCUAAUACUGGAUAUGAGCUUGCAAGGCAUCUUGUGGGUUGGAAAGAUUUUUUUUGGUUGGGGAUGGACUCGCGGCCUAUCAGCUUGUUGGUGAGGGAGUGGCUCACCAGGGCUUCGACGGGUAGCCGGCCUGAGAGGGCGACCGGCCACAUUGGGACUGAGCUACGGCCCACACUCCUGCGGGAGGCAGCAGUGGGGAAUAUUGCACAAUGGACGGAAGUCUGAUGCAGCAACGCCGCGUGCGGGAUGACGGCCUUCGGGUUGUAAACCGCUUUCAAUUGUGACGAAGCUUUUUUGUGACGGUAGCAGUAGAAGAAGCACCGGCUAACUACGUG